AUAGCUAACACAAGACACCCUAGUAGAGGGCCUUCCUGUAGAGGAGCUUCUUUGAGAUGUUGGGUGGGAUGUAAAGUUCCUCAUUUUUCAAUCUCGACCCUUAAACCAACUGCAGCCGCAAUAGAGGUUUUGAGGAAAGCUUUCGAGCCGGAGGUAAAGCGAUGAAGGUUAGAGUUUUUUUUUAGGAGAGAAUGGGAAAGAAAAUGAUGAGGGUAUGUGAUGAGAUUGUGACAAUGGUUGUGGCUGUGAGUUGGAGUGUGGUGGCAAUGAACCCAUUUGUGGUGGCGGUCAAUGAAGUUAAGAGACGAGGGUGACUACAAUGAGAGAGUCACGUGAAUUGUGUUGAUUUGAAAUAUAGAAGAGAAGAUUAAAGGAAGGAAAAAAAAAAGAGAGGGAAACAAAAGUAAAAUUAGGGUUGUAAAAUCAGUAUGUAAAAUCAGUAGGUAAAAUUUGUUUUUAUUUACAUAUGGACUGUAAAUCAUUUAUAUACAGAUUUUGUUUUUUGCAAAUUUUCCUACCAUAACGCGCCUAAAUUAUAUGCGGAUUUUACAUACAGAAAAU
rnacentral:lncRNA from 1 species